AUUGAACGCUGGCGGCAGGCUUAACACAUGCAAGUCGAGCGGAGCGAGGGUGCUUGCACCUUAGCUUAGCGGCGGACGGGUGAGUAAUGCUUAGGAAUCUGCCUAUUAGUGGGGGACAACAUUCCGAAAGGAAUGCUAAUACCGCAUACGCCCUACGGGGGAAAGCAGGGGAUCUUCGGACCUUGCGCUAAUAGAUGAGCCUAAGUCGGAUUAGCUAGUUGGUGGGGUAAAGGCCUACCAAGGCGACGAUCUGUAGCGGGUCUGAGAGGAUGAUCCGCCACACGGGGACUGAGACACGGCCCAGACUCCUACGGGAGGCAGCAGUGGGGAAUAUUGGACAAUGGGCGGAAGCCUGACCCAGCCAUGCCGCGUGUGGAAAGAGGGCCUUUUGGUUGUAAAGCACUUUAAGCGAGGAGGAGGCUACUUAGAUUAAUACUCUGGGAUAGUGGACGUUACUCGCAGAAUAAGCACCGGCUAACUCUGUGCCAGCCGCCGCGGUAA
rnacentral:rRNA from 1 species